rnacentral:rRNA from 1 species
AUUGAACGCUGGCGGCAUGCCUUACACAUGCAAGUCGAACGGCAGCACGGGUGCUUGCACCUGGUGGCGAGUGGCGAACGGGUGAGUAAUACAUCGGCACGUACCUUAUCGUGGGGGAUAACGCAGCGAAAGCUGUGCUAAUACCGCAUACGCCCUGAGGGGGAAAGCGGGGGAUCGCAAGACCUCGCGCGAUUAGAGCGGCCGAUGCCUGAUUAGCUUGUUGGUGGGGUAAAAGCCCACCAAGGCGAUGAUCAGUAGCUGGUCUGAGAGGACGAUCAGCCACACUGGGACUGAGACACGGCCCAGACUCCUACGGGAGGCAGCAGUGGGGAAUUUUGGGCAAUGGGGGCAACCCUGAUCCAGCAAUGCCGCGUGAGUGAAGAAGGCCUUCGGGUUGUAAAGCUCUUUUGUCAGGGAAGAAACACCGGCUCUAACACAGUCCGGGAAUGACGGUACCUGAAGAAUAAGCACCGGCUAACUACGUGCCAGCCGCCGCCGUAA